rnacentral:rRNA from 1 species
UACGAAGGGGGCUAGCGUUGCUCGGAAUCACUGGGCUUACAGGGUGCGUAGGCGGUCUGUUAAGUAGGGUGUGAAAGCCCCCGGCUCAACCGGGGAAUUGCGCCCUAAACUGGCGGACUGGAGUGAGAUAGGGGUGUGCGGAACUUCCGGUGGAGCGGUGAAAUGUGUUGAUAUCGGAAGGAACGCCGGUGGCGAAAGCGGCACACUGGAUCUCAACUGACGCUGAGGCACGAAAGCCAGGGGAGCGAACGGG